rnacentral:rRNA from 1 species
UACCAGCACCCCGAGUGGUCGGGACGUUUAUUGGGCCUAAAGCAUCCGUAGCCGGUUCUACAAGUCUUCCGUUAAAUCCAACUGCUUAACAGAUGGGCUGCGGAGGAUACUAUAGAGCUAGGAGGCGGGAGAGGCAAGCGGUACUUAGUGGGUAGGGGUAAAAUCCGUUGAUCCAUUGAAGACCACCAGUGGCGAAGGCGGCUUGCCAGAACGCACUCGACGGUGAGGGAUGAAAGCUGGGGGAGCAAACCGGG